CACAUGGAUUCAGUCCACAGUAUAUAUCUAAUAGGGUCACAGAUAUAGAUCUUCUGUUCACAGCACACAGCCAUGAAAGGAUGGAGUCCCAGCUUCCUUGCUUGGGUGCAGUGUGUUCUUGUAACUCAUUCUAAGAAAUGGAGCUGACGGGGAGCCAGACCUGAGGACAGCCAAACAGUAGACCUACAACCAGCCAGCUCAUGCUGAAUCUCAAAGUGUGAAUACCCUAUCCAAUGGAGAGAUAUCAGAAGAGUAUGCAGGAAAAGCUGAAACAGUCUCUUGAAAAUAAAGGAAAAUUUUAAACGGAAUGCCACAUUCAGAAUUUCAC
rnacentral:lncRNA from 1 species